AAUCUAGUCAGCACCUCAAAAGACACCCUCCCAAUCAGAAUUCUGCUGAGGCAGGAUGAUUGGACUUCCUUCCCACUGAAGUUAUCCAGUCGUGUCCGACACCUUGUGAGUCCAUGGACUGUAGCCCACCAGGCUCCUCUGUGAAGAGCUACCAUGAAACUUCAAUGCACAGGUUCCAGAUUGGUUGCAGAUUCAACCAACAUUGGAUCAAAAAUGAUCCAAUCAUUUUUUUCCAUCAGGAAAAAAAGAAAUUCAGGUACUUCGCUGGUGGUCCAAUGGUUAAGAAUCCACCUUGCAAUGCACAGGACACUGGUCCAACCCCUGGUCCAGGAAAAUUCCACAGGACCUA